rnacentral:tRNA from 1 species
GCGGGAAUAGCUCAGUUGGUAGAGCGACGACCUUGCCAAGGUCGGGGUCGCGAGUUCGAGCCUCGUUUCCCGCUCCA